GUGCAUUUCUGCCAGGGUGUUCAGUAGAUUCCAUCUACCAAACAAACUACCAAACGAUGGACCACCUGGGAGCUGGAGUGUGCCGUCAAUUGACCGCCCAGAAGCUGCGGUUAACCGCAGCUUAAUUGAUGAAUGCUGGGUGGCCUUUGUUCGGUUGCCGAACACAUGGCACCGGCCAUUUUACCUCCCGAUCGGCCAGCGGUGUUCAGCGCCCAAACUAUGGAACUGAAAACGGACACUUAUUGGCGCGAACACCGCUGAGCGGCCAGCCUCCUUACCUUCCCAUUCGUUUGCGGAACCGAAUGACUGUUCAUUCUGUAAUUUAACCGGAUGAACAGCAUCACCCCAGAUAGCUAAGCCAUGGAGCCUAUUCGUGUAACGAAAGACUAUGUGAAAGACUUUGGCUCCAUGGCGAUUGAAAUGUAUGUAUGUGAUCUGAGCGCCAUUCGGUAGUAAUGUGCGCUCAGAUCUCAGCUAUCUGGGGAUAUGUAGAAUGUAUAUGUUUUAUGUAAUAAAUGUAACUGUAUGUAAUUU